GCUGUUUCAGUUAGUUUGAAGAGCAAAAAUGUUAUAUCAGGUGCUCCCUAAUAUUUUUCUAUUGCUUUUCAAAUAUUCAUUUCUUUUUAACUUAUGCAAAGCCCUCUUAGAGAUCACAUCUUCAGUAAUGCCUCAUACAACCAAACCCACUGUCACUGCAACCACUGUCAGCUACUCCAUAAGAGCCCCGACCAAUUUCCCUCUGAAAUCGAAAUAACGGAUCAUUUUCAAAUAUCGCCAUCAUCACCUCAAAUGAUUAUCUUCUAACAAUCCCAAGCAAUAUGUAAGAAUUUGAUAUUUUUCUUUCUGGGUUUUGCGUUUUUCGUGAUUUAAACAACCAGAGUUUGCUUUAUUUUGAUUUUUGGUCAAUUUGAUGCGUACAACUGUGUUUCUGAGUGAUUGAAUUAACCCGAAUAUUUGGUGAAUUUUAGAAAAGCAUCAAAGAUUUUGCUUGUUUUUUAGAAUCUGGGAACCAGUUAAAUUGGUAAUCGAAAAUAUCUAGAGAAAAUUCAAGAGUUAUAAUUCAAACGGGAUGUAUAUGAUCCAUUUAGGAUCCAAAGCUCAUACAUCUUAGGUUCACUAAUUCAGUUUGUUCUUUGAGUCUGAAAAUCAAAUGAUUUGAGGGAGGAAAAAAAAGGGAACUUACUGGAGUUGGCCAUGGAGAUUUCA
rnacentral:misc_RNA from 1 species